GACGAACGCUGGCGGCGUGCCUAAUACAUGCAAGUCGAGCGAACUAAUGGGAGCUUGCUCCCGUUAGUUAGCGGCGGACGGGUGAGUAACACGUGGGCAACCUACCUGUAAGACUGGAAUAACUUCGGGAAACCGGAGCUAAUACCGGAUGACAUAAAGGAACCCCUGUUCCUUUAUUGAAAGAUGGCUUCGGCUAUCACUUACAGAUGGGCCCGCGGCGCACUAGCUAGUUGGUGAGGUAACGGCUCACCAAGGCGACGAUGCGUAGCCGACCUGAGAGGGUGAUCGGCCACACUGGGACUGAGACACGGCCCAGACUCCUACGGGAGGCAGCAGUAGGGAAUCUUCCGCAAUGGACGAAAGUCUGACGGAGCAACGCCGCGUGAGCGAUGAAGGCCUUCGGGUCGUAAAGCUCUGUUGUUAGGGAAGAAUAAGUGCUAGUUGAAUAAGCUGGCACCUUGACGGUACCUAACCAGAAAGCCACGGCUAACUACGUGCCAGCAGCCGCUGUAA
rnacentral:rRNA from 1 species